CCGCAUCACGUUUAAACACCGAUUCCCAUACGAUAACCGAAGUUAAGCAAUAUCGAACCUGGUCAGUAUCUAGAUGGGUGACGGCUUGGAAAUACCAAGUGCU